GACGAACGCUGGCGGCGUGCCUAAUACGUGCAAGUCGAACGAACUCUGGUAUUGAUUGGUGCUUGCAUCAUGAUUUACAUUUGAGUGAGUGGCGAACUGGUGAGUAACACGUGGGAAACCUGCCCAGAAGCGGGGGAUAACACCUGGAAACAGAUGCUAAUACCGAAUAACAGCUUGGACCGCAUGGUCCGAGCUUGAAAGAUGGCUUCGGCUAU
rnacentral:rRNA from 1 species